rnacentral:rRNA from 1 species
UACAGAGACUGCAAGCGUUAUUCGGAUUCACUGGGCGUAAAGGGUGCGCAGGCGGCCGGGUGUGUCAGAUGUGAAAUCCCGAGGCUCAACCUCGGAACUGCGUCUGAAACUACUCGGCUAGAGUACUGGAGAGGGUAACGGAAUUCACGGUGUAGCAGUGAAAUGCGUAGAUAUCGUGAGGAACACCAGAGGCGAAGGCGGAUACCUGGACAGUUACUGACGCUCAGGCACGAAAGCAUGGGGAGCAAAAGGG